rnacentral:rRNA from 1 species
AUUGAACGCUGGCGGCAUGCCUUACACAUGCAAGUCGAACGGCAGCACGGGGCAACCUGGUGGCGAGUGGCGAACGGGUGAGUAAUGUAUCGGAACGUGCCAUUGAGUGGGGGAUAACGUAGCGAAAGUUACGCUAAUACCGCAUAUUCUCUCCGGAGGAAAGCAGGGGACCGCAAGGCCUUGCGCUCUUUGAGCGGCCGAUAUCAGAUUAGCUAGUUGGUGAGGUAAAGGCUCACCAAGGCGACGAUCUGUAGCGGGUCUGAGAGGAUGAUCCGCCACACUGGAACUGAGACACGGUCCAGACUCCUACGGGAGGCAGCAGUGGGGAAUUUUGGACAAUGGGCGCAAGCCUGAUCCAGCCAUGCCGCGUGAGUGAAGAAGGCCUUCGGGUUGUAAAGCUUUUUCGGCCGGGAAAAAAUCGCAUGGGCUAAUACCCUGUGUGGAUGAUGGUACCGGAAUAAGAAGCACCGGCUAACUACGUGCCAGCCGCCGCGGUAA